rnacentral:rRNA from 1 species
UACGGGGGGAGCAAGCGUUGUUCGGAUUUACUGGGCGUAAAGGGCGCGUAGGCGGGUUCUCAAGUCAGUGGUGAAAUCUUGCGGCUCAACCGUAGAAUAGCUGCUGAUACUGAGAGUCUCGAGGGAGGCAGGGGUCGAUGGAACUUCCGGUGGAGCGGUGAAAUGCGUAGAUAUCAGGAGGAACACCGGUGGCGAAGGCGGGUCUCUGGGCAGUAACUGACGCUGAGGAGCGAAAGCGUGGGGAGCGAACAGG